ensembl:lncRNA
AUUUUAUAUACCUUUUGAGCUGUGUAACUUAAUGUUUGGAUACUUGACAAUUUUAUUUUAUUUUGUAAUUGAUAAAACGUUGAUGUGUAUUAACGUUAGCUCAACCAUUUAUUUAUACUGUCCAGGAACAUGUGGUUAUAGUACUGUGGAGAAAUAAAUUGUCCAUGUUCACCAGCUUGUAAAAAUCUAGUGCAAGAGCUUAAACAUUAAAUAAAUGAUGAAAUGCAACAACAACAACAAAAAAUCAACACAAUGAUUUUUUUGUAAGACAGUUUUAUUGAGGUAUAAUCAACAUGUAGUAUGUAGCAUAAAUUUAAAGUAUACAACUUGAUAAGUUUUGAUAUAUAUAUAGGUACAUAUAUAUAUAUAUAUAUAUAUGAAGCCAUCAACACAAUUAAAAUAAUGAGUGUAAGUAUUAUCCCCCCAAAUUUGCUCAUGUCUCCUUUAAUUCCCGCUUCUCUCUGUUCCCGCGUCCCAUCUCUAGGCAACCAGUCAUCUACUUUCUGCAACUAUUAAUUAGUUUGCAUGUUCUAGAAUAUUAUCAGUGGACUUGUCCAAUGUGUACUCUUUUUAAAUCUAGCUUACUUUGCUCUGCAUAAUUGAGGUUCAUAUAUGUUGUUGCAUGUAUCCAUAGCUAGUUCCUUUUUAUUGUAGAGUAAUAUUCAUUGUGAGGGUAUACUUCUGUUUGUUUAUCCACUCACAUGUUGAUAAUAUAUUGGGUUGUUUGCAUUUUUUAAGUUGUGAAACAUGCAUGUGUAAGUCUUUGUAUGGAUAUACAUUUCAUUUCUUUUGGGUAGAUACUUAGGAGUAGGAUAGCUGGGUCAUAUGGUAGGAGCUUGGAGAAGGCAAUGGCACCCCACUCCAGUACUCUUGCCUGGAAAAUCCCAUGGGCGGAGUAGCCUGGUAGGCUGCAGUCCAUGGGGUUGCAAAGAGUUGGACAUGACUGAGCGACUUCACUCUCACUUUUCUCUUUCAUGCAUUGGAGAAGGAAAUGGCAACCCACUCCAGUGUUCCAGUGUUCUUGCCUGGAGAGUUCCAGGGACGGCAGAGCCUGGUGGGCUGCUGUCUAUGGGGUCGCGCGGAGUCGGACACGACUGAAGCAACUUAGCAGCAGCAGCAGCACGAGGCACCAACCUUGAGGGAUUGCGGACAGAAGACAGGGAGGUGUUCAGACAGCCCCUGGCUCACACCCCCUUCCUAGUGAUGUCCACUUCGUGGCUUCACCACCUCCACCUCUGCUACUACUGGUGAAAAAGCUUGCAAGGCCCGUCAGCUGAACCCCGGGAGACCCAGCCUGCUUCCAGGACACCGGACACCAACAAACCAAAGCAGACUGAUCACUGAAGCUGAGUGUAAAACUUAUUCUCAUCCCAGGGUUCAGAAAGAAAAAUAAGCUUCAUACCACAGACUUCUCAGGUCUUUCCAAGAACUGAAGGUUUUGCUUUUUCUCUCACUACAGAACAAUCAGUUCCAAAGCCUAGCAAAGGGCUUCCAUGAUGGGGUUUUGCUGUAAUAAAACUGGGCCCCACCUUUAGCCUUACAUCUGUGUUUACAGCAACCACAGAAGGCAGCCAUCCUAUUCAAUUUAGUUAUAUACGCACAUAACGCAGACAUUGGGAAGUAUAUGCAAAACAAAUGAAAUAGUCUCAUCAUUAUCAGAGUACAAAAAAAGUUACACUGAAUUUCUUCUCUCAGUAACUAACAGGAAGCAAUAAAAAGAGAGGAAACAUAAAACAUUUUGCUGUGGU